UACACACCGCCCGUCACACCAUGGGAGUUGGCUGCACCAGAAGCCGUAGCUUAACCGAAAGGGAGCGCCGUCCACGGUGUGGUCAAUGACUGGGGUG
rnacentral:rRNA from 1 species